GCACUGGUGAGGAGUCCCACAAUAGGACGAAACGGUCGUCCAGUGC
rfam:Schistosoma mansoni strain Puerto Rico chromosome W, complete genome